rnacentral:rRNA from 1 species
AACGAACGCUGGCGGCAUGCCUAACACAUGCAAGUCGAACGAGACCUUCGGGUCUAGUGGCGCACGGGUGCGUAACGCGUGGGAACCUGCCCUUAGGUUCGGAAUAACUCCCCGAAAGGGGUGCUAAUACCGGAUAAUGUCUUCGGACCAAAGAUUUAUCGCCUUUGGAUGGGCCCGCGUUGGAUUAGCUAGUUGGUAGGGUAAAAGCCUACCAAGGCGACGAUCCAUAGCUGGUCUGAGAGGAUGAUCAGCCACACUGGGACUGAGACACGGCCCAGACUCCUACGGGAGGCAGCAAUGGGGAAUAUUGGACAAUGGGCGAAGGCCUGAUCCAGCAAUGCCGCGUGAGUGAUGAAGGCCUUAGGGUUGUAAAGCUCUUUUACCCGGGAUGAUAAUGACAGUACCGGGAGAAUAAGCUCCGGCUAACUCCGUG